rnacentral:rRNA from 1 species
UACAGAGGGGGCAAGCGUUGUUCGGAAUUACUGGGCGUAAAGGGCGCGUAGGCGGCACGGCAAGUCAGGAGUGAAAGCCCUGGGCUCAACUCUGGAACUGCCUCUAAUACUGGGGUAUCUCGAGUCCGGAAGAGGUGAGUGGAAUUCCGAGUGGUAGAGGUGAAAUUCGUAGAUAUUCGCAAGAACACCAGUGGCGAAGGCGGCUCACUGGCCCGGUACUGACGCUGAGGUGCGAAAGCGUGGGGAGCAAACAGG